rnacentral:misc_RNA from 1 species
ACAAGUAUAACAAGCAU